GAAUUCGCUCCGCGCAAGGAGGGCCGCGGAAAAACCCAGGGUUGGGGGUCUUGGCUGGGGGUGCUCGGCAGGAAACCAGUUUCACCCUUUUUAUCACUUGUACUGGCGGAAGCUAGAGCUACCAUGUCAUGAAGACUCGGGCUUCCUGCCAACAGCCAUGUGAGUGAGCACUGUUGGGAGCAGAUCUCCCUAGUUCAGCCUUCAGAUGACUGCAGUCUGGAUGAUGUUGACUGAAACCUCACCCUGAGCAAAUCCUGAGCAGAACUACCCAGACUUAUUUCAAAGAACAUUGUAACAUUGAUGAAUUAAGCCGGACAGAGAAGCAACUGCAAACAAAGUGACUCUUUUUGUGGGCCUAACAACUUGUGGCUUUAAACAAUGAAGGCCAUUGUGUCAGAAUUCCCUCCCGGGGUUAUUGUGAGGAUUAAUUUCAUUAAAAUCUGCAGUGUUUUGAGUUUUUCUCAGAAUUCUUUCAUAAAUAAAGAUGGCAAUAAUUUU